rnacentral:snoRNA from 1 species
GGGUAACACUAAAAAGCUAAGGUGUUACCUGUUCCAAUCUUUCUAUAGAAGUUUUUGUAGUUCCUUGCUUUUAGUGCUUAAGUGAGUCUUGCAGGUCACAUAUCUCCAAAGACAUGG